UACAGAGGUCUCAAGCGUUGUUCGGAUUCAUUGGGCGUAAAGGGCUCGUAGGCGGCCAACUAAGUCCGACGUGAAAUCCCCAGGCUUAACCUGGGAACUGCAUCGGAUACUGGAUGGCUUGAAUUCGGGAGAGGGAUGCAGAAUUCCAGGUGUAGCGGUGAAAUGCGUAGAUAUCUGGAGGAAUACCGGUGGCGAAGGCGGCAUCCUGGACCGACAUUGACGCUGAUGAGCGAAAGCUAGGGGAGCAAACGGG
rnacentral:rRNA from 1 species